AGGAUUGUAGCUCAGAGGCAGAGAAUCUGCUUUGCAUGUAGAAGGUAUUGGGUUCAAAUCCCUGGCAUCUCUU